rnacentral:rRNA from 1 species
GGUGAACGCUGACAGAAUGCUUAACACAUGCAAGUCUACUUGAUUCUACUUCGGUAGUUGAUGGUGGCGGACGGGUGAGUAACGCGUAAAGAAUCUGCCCUUUAGUUUGGGAUAACCUUUGGAAACGAAGGCUAAUACCGGAUAUUAUGGAGACGUCGCAUGGCGACUCCAUGAAAGCUAUAUGCGCUAGAGGAGGACUUUGCGUCCCAUUAGUUAGUUGGUGAGGUAAUGGCUCACCAAGACCGCGAUGGGUAGCCGGCCUGAGAGGGUGAUCGGCCACAAGGGAACUGAGACACGGUCCUUACUCCUACGGGAGGCAGCAGUGCGGAAUAUUGGACAAUGGGCCACAAGCCUGAUCCAGCAAUUCUGUGUGCACGAUGAAGGUCUUCGGAUUGUAAAGUGCUUUCAGUAGGGAAGAAAAAAAUGACGGUACCUACAGAAGAAGCGACGGCUAAAUAUGUGCCAGCCGCCGCCGUAAAAC